AGUUCUUCAUAGCGUCUUUAACUUCCAAACUAGCAACAUCUGCAAUUGACCGCGCGUGUGUGACCGCGAACGACAUGUACGUGAUGGUGGUUGGCGCCAAAGGGGACGAGUGUCUUCCGGACGACGAGCAGGUGGACCCAGAGCGUCGGAUACCGGAGAAACUCGGACCCCGGCGAGAUUCAAAACGGAUGAAACGAGGUACGUGGGAUUCUGAUAGCUUUAACACUCUUUUCGAUCAAAUGAGCAUUCUCGCGAAUCUCUAUAUUGUAUUAAUAGAUUGAAUAACGUACCCACAACCAUCUUAUCCAAUUUUAACGGCGGCCCCGUCAGCCCCAAUCGCAAACAUUACCAAUCAAAAUACGUUGUUAGCAUCACCACAAUCGAACGAUAACUCUUUCUGGUACGAGUUUCUU